GCCCCUUUGGCUCAGUGGAUAGAGUGUCGGCCUGCAGACUGAAUGGUACCAGGUUCGAUUCUGGUCAGGGGCA
rnacentral:tRNA from 1 species